rnacentral:rRNA from 1 species
ACKGCUCAGUAACACGUGGACAACCUACCCUUAGGUCGGGGAUAAACCCGGGAAACUGGGUAUAAUACCCGAUAGAUCUCGACUGCUGGAAUGCAUCGAGAUCGAAAGCUCCGGCGCCUAAGGAUGGGUCUGCGGCCUAUCAGGUAGCAGUGGGUGUAGCGUACCUACUAGCCUACGACGGGUACGGGUUGUGAGAGCAAGAGCCCGGAGAUGGAUUCUGAGACACGAAUCCAGGCCCUACGGGGCGCAGCAGGCGCGAAAACUUUACAAUGCGAGAAAUCGUGAUAAGGGAACCCCGAGUGCCCGUAAAUCCGGGCUGUCCGCCAGUGUAAAUAACUGGUGAAGAAAGGGCCGGGCAAGACCGGUGCCAGCCGCCGCGGUAAUACCGGCGGCUCGAGUGGUGGCCGCUAUUACUGGGCUUAAAGCGUUCGUAGCUGGUUUGUUAAGUCUCUGGGGAAAUCUUCCGGCUCAACCGGAAGGCGUCUCAGGGAUACUGGCAGACUAGGGACCGGGAGAGGUGAGAGGUACUCCAGGGGUAGGAGUGAAAUCCUGUAAUCCUUGGGGGACCACCUGUGGCGAAGGCGUCUCACCAGAACGGCUCCGACAGUGAGGGACGAAAGCUGGGGGAGCAAACCGGAUUAGAUACCCGGGUAGUCCCAGCUGUAAACGAUGCGCGUUAGGUGUAUCGGUGACCACGAGUCACCGAGGUGCCGAAGAGAAAUCGUGAAACGUGCCGCCUGGGAAGUACGGUCGCAAGGCUGAAACUUAAAGGAAUUGGCGGGGGAGCAC